rnacentral:rRNA from 1 species
AGAGUUUGAUCAUGGCUCAGAUUGAACGCUGGCGGCAGGCUUAACACAUGCAAGUCGAGCGGGGAAAGGUAGCUUGCUACUUUACCUAGCGGCGGACGGGUGAGUAAUGCUUAGGAAUCUGCCUAUUAGUGGGGGACAACAUCUCGAAAGGGAUGCUAAUACCGCAUACGUCCUACGGGAGAAAGCAGGGGACCUUCGGGCCUUGCGCUAAUAGAUGAGCCUAAGUCGGAUUAGCUAGUUGGUGGGGUAAAGGCCUACC